UUGUUACCAACCCAUCAUCAGUACUGAAUAAAUUCAUAAAUUAUGAAAGUUACCAUGCUAGAACUAGUAACAAGAAAAUGAAUUUCUCCAAAGUGCAAGUAUAAACCAAAAAGGACAGCCCAUUGGUGAUUAACGGAUCUGAACUAAUUAUAGUAAAACACCUAGAAAACCCUAUACUUAAUAUCGUUAACCUUACACAAGCGCCCUCCUGGAAAGAUUAAAAGGAAGAGAAGGAACUCGGCAAACUCUAACCCCGCCUGUUUACCAAAAACAUCGCCUCUUGAUUAAAUAUAAGAGGUCCAGCCUGCCCAGUGUUUCAAUCAACGGCCGCGUGAUUUAAGCGCGCGAAGGUAGCAUAAUAAUUUGUUCUCUAAAUAAGGACUUGUAUCAAUGGCAUCACGAGGGUUAUACUGUCUCCUUUCCCCAAUCAGUGAAACUAAUCUCCCUGUGAAAAAGCAAGGAUACAACUAUAAGACGAGAAGACCCCAUGGAGCUUAAAACACAGCAACAACCCUAAUAUUAUAACCAAUACAAUUUUAAGCUAUGUAUGCUAGUUUUGGGUUGGGGUGACCACGGAGCAAAAUGAAGCCUCCACAACGAGAAGGGGAUACCUCCUUAUUUAAGAAACACUGUUCUAAAAAUUAUUAAAAUAACGUAUAAUGAUCCGACUAUCGACCAAUGGACCAAGUUACCCUGGGGAUAACAGCGCAAUCUACUCUGAGAGCCCCUAUCGACGAGCAGGCUUACGACCUCGAUGUUGGAUCAGGGUACCCCAGUGGUGCAGCCGCUACUAAAGGUUUGUUUGUUCAACAAUUAAAAUCCUACGUGAUCU
rnacentral:rRNA from 1 species